rnacentral:pre_miRNA from 1 species
AGAGGAAUAGCUGGGUCAAAUGGUGAUUCCAUUGCCAGUUUUCCAAGGAAUCUCCACACUGCUUUCUAAAUUGGCUGCACCAAUUUGCAGUCCCACCAGCAAU